UCAUCAGCAACAGCAACCACAAGAGGAAAACAUGUCUAAUUUGACUUCAGCUUCUGGUGAAGCAAGUGUUUCUUCAGGCAACAGAAAUGAAACUGGAACUAACUAUCCUCAACAAUACUUUGCUCCUCCACCUCCUCAAACUCAACCUGUCAAAAAGAAGAGAAACCUGCCAGGAAAUCCAGACCCAGAUGCAGAAGUAAUAGCUUUAUCACCCAAGACUCUGAUGGCAACAAAUAGAUUUGUGUGUGAGAUCUGUAACAAGGGGUUCCAGAGAGAUCAGAAUCUUCAACUUCAUAGAAGAGGGCAUAAUCUGCCAUGGAAGCUGAAGCAAAGAACCAGCAAGGACAUAAGGAAGAAGGUGUAUGUCUGCCCAGAAACUAGCUGCGUCCACCAUGACCCAUCAAGAGCUCUUGGUGACCUGACAGGAAUCAAGAA
rnacentral:misc_RNA from 1 species